UUUUUACCCCUUUUUAGCUUACGUGGCACUAUCUUGUGGGCUCAACGAUGAUUGACUUUUUUUUUGAACUAGUGCCACGUAGACUAAAAAGGGGUAGAAAAU
rnacentral:pre_miRNA from 1 species